AAUGACGCCGAUGACAGCGACAGCGUCGGCCGAGUGCUUCCCCUGCUCCGGGUCGUCCAGGCACCGGGUCCUCCUUCAGCACUCGCAGCACGCACUGAAGAAGACGCUACGGAAGUCUCCGUUUUCCAGACUCGGGGGAAUUAGGAAACGCGCCCGGCGACCCUCGGGCAGUAGCACCGGGCCAGGUUUGCUUUCGGAACCGCUGACGCCACUCGCCGCCUUUCCCGCCUGGGCCUCUCGCGGGUCGCAGGGGUGGAAGCCCGACCUGGGCCAGGGCCCGGAUUUCUUCCUCCCGGCCUCUGCGCCGCCGCCCCCGGUGCCAGGACGCGCUUUGCUCUCGCCGAGACCCAGACGCGCCGAAAGCCUCGCGCGGGCAGUUCCCCGCCCCACGCCCCGGGCUGCGCGUUCUCCCGCGAAGCCUCUGCCGAGUGCGCGCGACGGCGCCGCCGGACUCCCCCGGACCGCGCUCCCGCGCACGCCUGACCGGAGCACCCCGCUUCACGGGGGCGUUCUGCGCGUCCUUCCUCCCCGCAGGGUCCCGGCGGCUGGGCCGAGGGUCGCAAGCAGAGGGGACCGGCGGCUGCCAGCAAGUCCCAAGCAGAUGCCUCCGGCGGGGCAGCCGCAUUUUACAGCGCCCAUUCCGCGUACAUCGAGUAUCCAAAACGAGUAAAAUCGGUUUAUACGUUGGAAUGUAGCUUAUGAUUCCAAAAUCUCAUCUCCAGGCUGCCUAGAUCACACGGCCCCGUUUCAUUCAUUUUUACUGAAUAACGGUCGUUGGACAAUUUAGAGAAGCAGCAGAAACCACGAGAAAAACAGUGGAGUCAAACGGCGGUAAGGACCGACAAGGCUGGCGGGGACAUUGAGCAAACGGCGGCUUCUGAGUUGGCACCUGUCCUUCACCACGUUGUGUGGGAAGUGUGGGGAGUCGGGAUUCCCACUCCUCCCCAGCCUUCCGGAAAAAUGCUCGGAAAUUUCCUUCCACAUUGACACCUGAUUACAGUCUAAAUAGUAACCUUAUUCUGAUUGUUAAUGUAACCCUCUCGUAAUCUCUACAAAAAUACUUUAGUUUUUCUAGCUGUGUUUUCAUGUAAUCACUGAAAUUAUUUUUAAUUGGUUUUAAGCAUUCAUUGAUUCCAUUUACACCACCUGCAAAAAAGUUACAUAGGUGAUCGCUAACAAUACUAGAAUUCGCCCCAUCCAAAGGAAACAUUAGAGUAGAAAAAGAAAAAGGAUUUGAGAAUCCAGUAGGAAAUUCAGUUAAUCAUUCCUUCCCUGUUACUCAACUACCUUAACAUUGUCAGGUUUACCUGAACAUAAACUUCAUUUUCUUAAUUGUUCUUAGAACGAAGGGAUAUGUUUAUUGAAAUCAGUAAUUAAGAAUAUUUUGGGACAGUUAUGAUUUACUUAGCCAGUGAAGCAGUUUCUAUUCCCAAAUCCAGGCAAAGAGAACAAUAAGAUUAAACGUAACCUAAGAGAUUUCCUUUUUGUCAAAUAAUGUGAUUUUGCUAUGUAUAGAGGAGAUGUCUAUAUGUAAGGGCAUAUUUAUGACCAGUAGUUCCUAAAAUUAAGGGGACUAUUAUUGUGUUACUCAAGGUAUCAGUUGUAUAGGAUACAUUAUGUCAUAUUUCAAACAAUGUUUAUAAAGAGAUUAGUAUAAUUAACCUGUGUGUACUUCUCCUCUGGGCCAACCUUGUGUCUUCUUUAUCUGCUGACAGUCCUCUCCCCACUGAAUUAUUUUGAAUCAAAUCCCAGAUAGUCUAUCAUUGUAUUGUAUUUUUGAAUAUUUCUCUAAAAGAUAAUAAUUCCAUCAAUGAGACUGGGUGCAGUGGCUCCUCCCUGUAAUCCCAGCUCUUUGGGAGGCAGAGGUUGGAGGAUCACUUUAGGCCAGGAGUUCAAGACCACCCUGAGCAACAUAGCAAGACCCCAUUUAUAAAAAAGAAGAUUCCCAUCAACGUAACCACAAUACCAUUAUCACACCUAAAUAAUCCAUUAAUAGCAUCGGUUUAUCCAGGCAAUAUUUAAAUAUCUUCAAUUGUCUAAAAACUUUUUGUUUAGUUGGUCGGUUUGAAUUAGAAUGCUAAUAAGGGUUACGUAUUGUGUUUGGUUGAUAUGGGCUAUUAUAUCUCUUUUAGAUUUCCUCAAUCCUCUUUUUUUGUUUCCCUUGCAUUUUUUAUGGGAGAAACUGAACGGUUUGUUCUGAAGAAGUUGACAUUCUGGACUUUGUAGCUGCAGGUAAUAGUUUUUUGGCAAGAUAUUCCCAGGGAUAAGGUCGUUUAUUCAGACUUUUGAAUAUUGGCAAAUAAUAAUAUUGUUUGUAGAGGGAGAAGGAUUAGUCAAGAUAUUUUGAAGAAUCAACUAUUGAAAAAACAAAUUUUUAUCAGAGUAAGCAUGGAUCUGGUAAAGAUUAUGUGAAAUUUUCCUAAAUGCAAAUACAAUCUAAAAUUGUAAUGUCUUACAAUUAAAAAAUAGAUUAUUUUCCAUAUAUUUAUAGAAAUAUAAAUGAUCAAUCAACUAUUUCAUUGACAAUUUUAAAUCUAGUUUUGUCUUGAGGAGAAUAAAGUUUUUUAUAUCUUUAGUAUUUUAGUUGAAGAUCCAAAGACAUUUUAUGUUAAAACUUUAGGUUUUAUAUUGUUUUAUGUUUUAAAACAUAAAAUCUAAAAUGUGGUAAUAUCCAUGAGGUGCAGAGAGAGUAAUAGCACAAAUUCUGUGUUCAUGAAAAUUCAUUUUAGGAUAACUUAAUUAAAAGGACUCAGGAUUUGAAUGAUAUUAGAUUAGACAGAAAAAAGUUCACUUGAGUGUAAGACAUAAGUAAUAAAAACCAAAGGUAGCUAACUUUUGUAGGCUUCUUCUUUCUUUAACGAGUAUGCAUAUGAAAUAAAAUUUCCAUGUCUAUGUCCAUUUUUCCAAGGUACAUGGGCUUCUACAAUUUCGUCUAUUUCAUCCUGCAGUUAUUUUCACGGGUCUCUGUGUCCACCACUAUCUGGAAUCUCUGAGAUGGUGAAAACGAAAUCUUAUUCUUCUUUAUAUUUCAAACAAUUCCUAGCACAUUAUCAAAAAUACCUGAUAAAAUUUAUUGUGUCUGUAAUACUGGUAAGCAUGUAAAAUGGUGGUAAAUAUAUAGGCUUUAAGUUUAGAUAGUUCUAAAUAUUAUUAAAAUUACCAAAUUAUUGUUUUUAAAAAGUAUUAGUUUCCUAGGACAAAUAGAGAUUUUUAGAUAAGGCUGGAUUUGUAAUACUUUAAGCAACAGGUCACAGUGCUUAAGUAUUUAAUGCCGAUUUGGCAAGCAGCUGAUGUUUUAUAUAAUGCUGUCGGGUAUUUUAUAUUUGCGUGUAUUUUCUGAUGCACUGGAUCCAGCACUUCAUGUCACGUCAUAUAUCUGUUUAUAAUGUAUACAAAUGUAUUUUCAUAUAUAUUUGAUGUUUGAUGGCUUUGAAACUUUAAUCUUGAAAUAGGUUUUAAAUUUUUAUUAAAACUAUUUAAAUAAUUACUGUAAGGAAAGAGCUCUUAUUAGUUGAAAGAAAAUGUAGAUUCAUGUUUCCUUGGAGACUAGUCUAGUUUCCAAGGAUAGACGGCAGUGAGGAGUCGGGUAUCUAGAUGGAAUUUCUGUUGGUUUGGAUUCCAGCUCUGCUGCUUACCAGCUUUGUGACCUCAGGCAAACAACUUAACCUCUCCAAGCCUCAAUUUCCCCAUCUAUAUAAUGGUGAUAUUUAUAAGUUUCACCUUAUAGGGCCACGGUGGGGAUUCCAUGAAAUAGUGUAUGUGAAGUGCUUAGCACAGUGCCUGGCACAUACUCAAUGCUCUAUGCAUGUCAGCUAGUACUUAAUGAUGCUAAUAAACAUGUUAUGUCCCUAA
rnacentral:lncRNA from 1 species